CAAAGAACACACCAUUCAAGUAAGGCAGAUGUGCAUCGACCUUCACAAGUCAGGCAAUGGCUACAAGAAAAUAGCCGCUCACCUGCACCUGCCCAUAUCUACUGUCAGAGGAAUCAUUAACGAGUUUAAAACCACUGGAACAGCGGUAAACAAGCCUGGACAAGGACGCAAGUGAAUUUUGCCACCAGGCUGAGUGAGGAGGAUGUGAUGACAUAACCAAAGUAAGACCAGGAAGGAACGUUUUUGAAAAACAGAGGAAAUAAGAACGUUGAUGAGGUUCGCUGAAGGGAAACACAACAGCACACAACGUUGUCUCUACUAUGGAAGGAGGAAAAGGAAAUAAAGGGAAAAUCUGCCGCAUUCAAAUCAUUCUCUUUGCAUACAAGAGAGACAUGCACGUAUGCUUUAUAGCGACCACAGUAGUGUUUCCAGUUUAGAAUAUUAAAAACAUUAGU